CCACCUCCUGCCUGCAAAUCUCUGCCUCAGACUCUGUUUCCUGGGUAACCUGACCUAAGAAAAUUGAUCAUACGCAGAACCCUACUAUAGCUGACUCCUUUGAAGAACUGUGAAAGAUGCGGGGGCGAGAAAAUAAAAAUCACAGGGUUGGCCUCAACAGUUGUAAUUGUCCUACACCACCUUCUCCUGGAAAUUGCUGCACCAUCGAUCCCAGCCUGGGUCAACAUCUCUAUCCUAUUGACUUGUAACAAAGAGACUGAUAAUGUAGUUUUCUACUACAAACAUGAAAUUGAGAGCUCUGGCAUGGAUGCGUGCAUGGAGAAACAGUUGUGUUGUUCAUGUAAGAGACGAAUGCAACAGACAAGAAACCAUAUUAUCCACAGUGACAAUAUUUAGAAAGCAAAACCUGAGCCUCCUGGCUACAUAAUGAAGAUUUUCCACAUGGAGCUGAGUUAGAUUGUAUACUGUAGAAAAUGAAUUAUUCAAUGAAAUAUAUAUAAGGAAAGAUCACUCUGUCCUCUACUUGUAACUCAUAUGUAAUCAUGACUUCCCCAAUAAAUACAUUUGUAAAUGCUU